CAGACGUGCGCUGUGCAAUUCAGCUCUGGUUCUCCAGAGUGUAUUUUGUACUAUUGCAGGCCAACAUCGGUUUUGCGAGUCGGAUAAAGGUUUGAGGAAUGUGGCACCUUCGGGUGUGUUAUAGCCUCUGGUAGAUGUGACGAUCGGGAUUGAGGAUUGCAACGGAUACCCCUCGGGGCUACCCAUCUGAUCUCUGAAGGUUGCUCCGGUGCCGAAGCGUGCUUACGGUCA
rnacentral:rRNA from 1 species